AGAUAAGGAUCACUUUUUCAUAUUGGAACUAUUAUAUUAUACUAAAGAAUUGGGAUAUGCAACUGUUGGAGGGUUUUAUUACCGAGAUUUAGUGACUAAAGAAUUCGACCAAAUUAAAUCUGACCAACAUCUACUAUACCUUAUUAAAGACUUAAAACAUGAGGACACUUUUGAAGUAUAUUUGUUUGUCAUGUAUUGAACGAACCAGUAGUUGAUACUGAGGGACCAGCUGACUAUCUAACUAAUGAUAGUAUUGGUGUUGGUGAGGUUGUUAACCUAGGUGAAGAGAAUGAUGUUGAUUCUAGUAACCUAGAAGAUGUUGAUGUAGAUUGUGAGUUAUCAGAUUUCUGGAGUAGUGAUUCAGAUCUAGGAGAUAUACCUCCAGAAGAUGGCUCAGAUGUUGAUGAGGAGUUGAGAGUUUUUAGACAAGAAAGAAGAAAUAAAAAACUGGAAAAAAAGGCUGUUGAACCUGAAGAAAUACCAGUUGGAGAGGCCGAUGGUGUUGAUAGGGGUUUUGAUGAUAUUGGAAAAGAUAAAACUAACAAAUAUGCAGGAAAAUUAGGUGGAGAUGAGGAAUAUCUUGAUAGCUCUGACUGUUGGAGUGAUGAUAGUGAGGAACAACUUGAAAUGGACGCUGUUAGGGGAGUAGAUCUACCUUCUAGAAGGAGAAGCAAAAAAGUAAGAUAUGGUGAAGAUUGUGAGGUGUCAAUAUUUGAGCUUGGGAUGGUCUUUGAGGGUGCAAAUCAGUUUAGGAAGGCAAUUUCAGAUUAUGUUGUAGAGUAUAGGAGGCAGUUAAAGUUGAGACCUAAUGAAAGGCAUAGAGUGAGGGUAAAGUGCAAAAAAUACAAGUGUAAGUGGCUGUUAUAUGCUUCUAUUGACAGGGAUUCAGGUGAUUUCAUUGUAAAGCACUAUCAUCUUGUUCACAAGUGUAUUCCAUUAAACAAGAACAAGUUGUGUAAUUCAAAGUUGAUAGCUAAAAAAUUUAAGGAUAGAAUUGUUUCUCAACCAUAUAUAAGAAUCUGGGAAAUUCAAGAUUUGGUAAGAAAUUAGUUGGGUCUUUAUGCUGGUAAGACUGUGUGUUACAGGGCUAAACAGAAGAUCAUGAAGAAAAAUAUGGGUGAUUGGAAUAUGAAAUUUGCAAGAUUAUAUGACUAUGCAGACAUGAUCAAGCAAAUCAAUCCUGAAAGCUCUUAUUGGGUAAAAAUUGAUAAGGAAACUGAAAAAGAACCUUUUGUUUAUUUUUAUGUGUUCUUUCAUGCAUUUAAGCAAGGAUGGUUGGAGGGGUGUAGGAAUAUAAUUGGUUUUGAUGGUUGUUUUCUCAAAGGAGCUUAUAAAGGUGAGUUAUUAGUUGUUGUUGAAAAGAAUGUGAACAAUCAAAUGUAUUCCGUUGCUUAGGCAGUUGUGGAUACAGAAAUAAAACAUAGUUGAAGUUGGUUCAUAAGGUAUUUGAUUGCUAAUCUGAAUUUAAGAACUGGUGAAGGUUUGACUGUAAUGUCAGGCAUGCAAAAGGGACCUGUUCAUGUCUUGAUGGAGUUGUUACCAAAUGUUGAGCAAAGGAUGUGUGCUAGACAUAUAUGGAGUAAGUGGCAUGUGAAUUGGAAAGGAGAAGAAAGAAGAAAAUAAUUCUGGAAAUGCUCAAAGUGCAGCUUUGAAGUCAAGUUUAGAGAGAGUUCAUGCCAUGUCUAAACUAGGUUGUGGAUGUUGAUAGGUAUUCCUGGCCCUCAUGCUGUUUGUGCUUAUUAUUACUUGAAUCAAGAUCCUGAUCAACAUGUAAAGCACUGGUAUAGAAAAGAAACAUUUCUCAAGGCUUACAACCAUAUCAUCCAACCUAUUCCUAAUAUGAAGAUGUGGCCUAACACUACAAAUCCAUCAAUAGAGCCUCCAAAAUCAAGAAAAAAGCCAGGCAGAUAUAGAAAGAACAGAAGAAAGAGAAAAGAUGAGCCAAAAAAAUUGAUAAAAUUUCAAAAAAAAGAGUGAAGAUGACCUGUUUCAUAUGCAAGAAAUUGGGCCAUAACAGAUCUGUCUGUACAGCAAUAUAAGGCAAGGGGAGCACUUCUCAGCCAAGUUCUAUCUAUGGUGACACCACAGCUCCACCAAAAGAUACUCAAACAGAACUGUACCAAGAGCUCCUCAAAAAAAUAUGCAAGUUGGGUUAGGAAGAGGAUUGGAGAGAAAAAAAGCUAAUGCAAGAGGUGCCCCAUUUGUUAGUGAGAGAGAUGAUUCUUCUAGUCACAAGAGACCAUAAAGCUCUGCCUUAUUUGCUGCUGUUACUGGAGGAAACAAAAGGCCUAUAACUGAUUUUGGUGUCUACUCUAAUCCUAUAACUGGGACUCAAGUGCUUAAUGUAUGCUCAUUUAUGGCCGUAUGUUCUUAUAGAAGAUAUAAGUACUUUGUCUAUUGUCUUAGAAUUUCCUCUAUUACAACCUGGUACAUCAAGUGAGAGGGUUCUACAUAGGCCAAUAAAUUUGAAGAGUGUUUCACCAAUCAUUAUAGAUAUUGGUUUUAAACCAUCUAAAAUGGAAUGGAAAAGAUGCAGUUAGCACCUCACAGUUGCAACAAAUGAGAGAAAACAACAAAAACAAAUCUUCUUUAUCGGUUGGAACCUCCAAGAAGUAGUUCAUCCGGAAAGCUAUUAAGAUUUUGGGCUAUGUUAAAGGGAUGCUAAAAAGGGUCGUUGAACAAUUUACUCUUACUUUAGUUUAUUUUUGAACAACUUAUGUUAUGUAUUUCUGAACAACUAGUGUCAGGUAUUUUGAACAACUUGUGUUUAAGAAUGCAAUGCCUUUAUGAUUUGUUGUAUCUGUGGUUUUGAACUUAAUUUUGAAAUAUAUGCAACAGUGUAUUUGAAUAAUUUGUGUUAAAGGAGCAGUGUGUUAAGGCAGCAAUGUCCUUCCUUUCUUCAA